rnacentral:lncRNA from 1 species
UCAUUUAUUCUUUAUUAUUAUUAUCAUUGCCUCUAUUUUACAGAUAAAGAAACUAAGGCCCAGGGAAGUUAAGUGACUUGCCCAGGGUCGCACAGCUAGCAAGUGAAAGAACCUGGAUUCCAUGGUGGUUGAUCAAGAACCAGACUGACCUCUUAACCAUACAAGAACAACCCUGGAAAUCCACCCAGGUGUUUCCAAGAAUAAUCUUCAGCUUCAACACCAACCAAAAGAUUUCCCGACAAAGGGAGCUUUCUCUUUGGAAGAGCAAUUCUGAUUGAACUGAAUGUCCUCUGUAUAAGGGCAUAAGUCAAGUGCAAGAUUUCGGACUCAAAGAGAGAAGGAACCAUCUCUGCAUGUUUCAUCCCUGUCUCCAAGUCCCCACCAGACAAGAUACGCAAUGAAUUGUGUGGCUUCAGCGAAUGACUAAAAUGAAGACAUUAGCACCUGUCUCCAGGAUCUCCUGCGGAAGUAAAGGAGAUUGUGUGCAGUUGAGUGCAUUACAGGCCAUUAAAUGCCGC